UCUGAUGUUUUGGAAACCUUGGACCUUGAAUGUCCAUUAAAGAUGUUCGACUCGUCUUCAGGCU
rnacentral:tRNA from 1 species